rnacentral:rRNA from 1 species
CCCCUAGAUGUUCUGGGCCGCACGCGCGCUACACUGAACAGUUCAACAAGUCUUAACCUUGGCCGAUAGGUCUGGGUAAUCUUUGAACGCUGUUCGUGAUUGGGAUAGACCUUUGCAAUUAUGGGUCUUCAACGAGGAAUUCCUAGUAAACGCAAGUCAUCAGCUUGCAUUGAUUACGUCCCUGCCCUUUGUACACACCGCCCGUCGCUCCUACCGAUUGAAUGGUCCGGUGAAGCGCUCGGACCGCGGCCUCUUGACGGUUUUCCGUCGAUUGGCUGUGGGAAGUUCGUUAAACCUUAUCAUUUAGAGGAAGGAGAANUCGUANCA